AAAACACAAUGGACAAUAUGUACUACCUGAAACAUGUCUUCAUCCCGUACAGUGUCGUGCUCAGACUCUGAGUCCAGCAGCUCAAGAUGGGCGUGACCAGAACUCUUUCCAAUGCCACAUUCAUGGUCGGACGCUCUCAGUACAGCGUGAGCUGCAAACUGGACGCACAGCAUUCAGACCACUGCUGUGUAUUAUCUGGAGUGCUGACGUAAUAUGUCGUAAACCCUCCCUUCCUUGGACACCUCCCUUACCUUGGACAAGUUGUCGCUGCAC